UACGUAGGGUCCAAGCGUUAUCCGGAAUUACUGGGCGUAAAGCGUCUGUAGGCGGCUUUAUAAGUCAGGUGCGAAAUCUUGCGGCUCAACCGUAUAGACUGUACUUGAAACUAUGAGGCUAGAGGUAGGUAGAGGCAAGUGGAAUUUCUGGUGUAGGAGUGACAUCCGUAGAUAUCAGAAGGAACACCAAUGGCGAAGGCAGCUUGCUGGGCCUUACCUGACGCUCAGAGACGAAAGCGUGGGGAGCGAACGGG
rnacentral:rRNA from 1 species